UACUUCAAGAAUUGCUCCCCUAUCGCAAGGGCAAUGUCCCCGAAACAAGAGAAUAUGGGAGGCUUGACAGACCGGUGAAGUUCAGCACUUUGGAGAUCAUGGAUAAGGUGGCUCAUGAUCCCAUCACAGUAAGGUAAAACCUUGUCAUCCAUUGCACGGCAUAUAUCACCAACCACUCCAACUGUGAUGGCACAAACCUGAUACUCCUCAAAAUU
rnacentral:misc_RNA from 1 species